UACAGAGGGUGCAAGCGUUAAUCGGAAUUACUGGGCAUAAAGCGCGCGUAGGUGGUUCGUUAAGUUGGAUGUGAAAUCCCCGGGCUCAACCUGGGAACUGCAUUCAAAACUGUCGAGCUAGAGUAUGGUAGAGGGUGGUGGAAUUUCCUGUGUAGCGGUGAAAUGCGUAGAUAUAGGAAGGAACACCAGUGGCGAAGGCGACCACCUGGACUGAUACUGACACUGAGGUGCGAAAGCGUGGGGAGCAAACAGG
rnacentral:rRNA from 1 species